CUGGGGCCCUUUAGUUGAUGUUGUUGGUUAUUGUUUCCUGAGCCUUGCAUCAAAGUAUCAACCUCGGGAAGACUUUGUCCAUUGGAUUAAAAAAGGACCACCACCUUUAUAUUUUGGGUUUGGGAGCAUGGUAUGGAGCAAAUGUCUCCUCAUAGUCAAUGCCAAAGGUCUAUGUGAACCCCUUGGCCACCAAUCAUGCCUUGUGUCGAUCUAAUGUUCCAUCGGAUUUACACUUCACUAUGUAUAUCCAUCUGCACCCUACAACUUUCUUGUUUUUAGGUAUAUCAACAAUCUCUAAAGUUGAGUUUCUCUCUAAUGCCUUCGUCUCCUCAUUCAUGGCUCUAACCCAAUUUCUAUCUAUUAGAGCUUCUUGGACUAACACAGGUAUUUUAAUUGCAUCAAUGGCUACAAUAAAGUUUCAAUGUUGAACAGAGAGAUGGUCGGUACAAACAAAUUGAGAAAUAGGAUACUUGACACAUGAUCUCUUCCUUUUCAUCAAGUAUCUUGGACAUCCUACAAGGAAGAGGUAAUGAUCCAAAGACAGACUCAACUUCUAGAAUAAUCUCCGCCUAAAGUUGAGGGCUAACAAAGAAAGGUACGAUUUCAUGAAAUGUGACAUCCUUUGUAACAAAAAAACGACUAUUGGGUCUAACUUGUCACAAUGAGGAUUGUGAGAAUGAACAAAUGCAACAUACCCAAACACACGACAUGAGAGACUUAAUACUAGGGGAGAAGAAGAGAAAAGUGGCGUGUUCAAUUGAACUAAUAGCCUAUAAGACAUGAGUGGAUAACCUGUUAAUGAGAUAAGUGGCAGUUAGGACAACUUCUCCCUCACAAACAACAGACAUUUGAAAGAGUAGAGUUCUGACAACCUCAAGUAGGCGACGAUUGUUUCUUUGUACUACCCCAUUUUGUUGGGGAGUAUUAACACAUGUAAUUCAUGGAUAAUAGCUUGCUUUAUAACAAACUUAGAAAAUUCAAGAUUAACAUAUUCAAUUCCAUUGUCUGACCGGAUUCUUUUGAUAAACUUGCUAAAUUGAUUUUUGACAAGACAAAAGAAAUUGACAAAUAUUUGGCAAACCUCAUAUUUGUGUUUCAUAAGGUAUGUCCAUGUUAGAUGAGUGCAAUCACGAUGAAUGUUGCAAACCAUCUGACCCCAAAAACAGAUUCAACAACAGGUCUCUAUACAUCAGAAUGGACAAGAUCAAAAGGAGAAACACUUUUAUUAUUACUAGGUA